AAAGCAGGGGACCUUCGGGCCUUGCGCUAUCAGAUGAGCCUAGGUCGGAUUAGCUAGUUGGUGGGGUAAUGGCUCACCAAGGCGACGAUCCGUAACUGGUCUGAGAGGAUGAUCAGUCACACUGGAACUGAAACACGGUCCAGACUCCUACGGGAGGCAGCAGUGGGGAAUAUUGGACAAUGGGCGAAAGCCUGAUCCAGCCAUGCCGCGUGUGUGAAGAAGGUCUUCGGAUUGUAAAGCACUUUAAGUUGGGAGGAAGGGCAGUAAAUUAAUACUUUGCUGUUUUGACGUUACCGACAGAAUAAGCACCGGCUAACUCUGUGCCAGCAUCCGCGGUAAUACAGAGGGUGCAAGCGUUAUUCGGAAUUACUGGGCGUAAAGCGCGCGUAGGUGGUUCGUUAAGUUGCAUGUGAUAUCCCCGGGCUCAACCUGGGAACUGCAUUCAAAACUGACGAGCUAGAGUAUGGUAGAGGGUGGUGGAAUUUCCUGUGUAGCGGUGAAAUGCGUAGAUAUAGGAAGGAACACCAGUGGCGAAGGCGACCACCUGGACUGAUACUGAACUGGAGGUGCGAAAGCGUGGGGAGCAAACAGGAUUAGAUACCCUGGUAGUCUACGCCGUAAACGAU
rnacentral:rRNA from 1 species